rnacentral:rRNA from 1 species
AUUGAACGCUGGCGGCAGGCCUAACACAUGCAAGUCGAGCGGAUGAAGGGAGCUUGCUCCUGGAUUCAGCGGCGGCCGGGUGAGUAAUGCCUAGGAAUCUGCCUGGUAGUGGGGGAUAACGUCCGGAAACGGGCGCUAAUACCGCAUACGUCCUGAGGGCGAAAGGGGGGGAUCUUCGGACCUCACGCUAUCAGAUGAGCCUAGGUCGGAUUAGCUAGUUGGUGGGGUAAAGGCCUACCAAGGCGACGAUCCGUAACUGGUCUGAGAGGAUGAUCAGUCACACUGGAACUGAGACACGGUCCAGACUCCUACGGGAGGCAGCAGUGGGGAAUAUUGGACAAUGGGCGAAAGCCUGAUCCAGCCAUGCCGCGUGUGUGAAGAAGGUCUUCGGAUUGUAAAGCACUUUAAGUUGGGAGGAAGGGCAGUAAGUUAAUACCUUGCUGUUUUGACGUUACCAACAGAAUAAGCACCGGCUAACUUCGUG